UCAAGUCACUGUAAUCUAAGGUCUAUCAGUUACCUUAAUGGGCUCAGGAGAGGGUAGAAUGCAGAUACAUUUCCAUAGUCACAGAACAUUUUUAUAAGAAAGUUUCACAUUUGAGGAGAGAGUGAGAUUCAGAUUGCAACCAUGUGUAGUCAAGUGCCAGUAUUCUGACCAUUUCAUUUGCCAACUGAAUUUUGCAAUUUUUGCUUAAUUUAUCAUGACAGGAAAAGAGAUAAAUUGGUACAUACUGAUUUGAUAGAUGCAUGGUGCAAAGAAACAUAUUCUUUCUUCUCAUUCCUUUAGAAUUCUGUGUGACAGCAUAGGAUAGAGCUUUGUAAAUAUAACCAAUCUGGCCAUCUUACACCAUUCUCUCAAAUUUUACUGUGAGUAAAACUAGUAUUCCUGAUUCCAGUGAGGCGUAGUUUCACUUACUUUACAUUCAUAUCUAUAAUAUACCAGAAAGCAGACAUGAGGGGUAGAACUCUCACUUGUUGGAGAGAACAUAUUAUUUAAAUACAUAAUUUAGAUUUCACUUUGAUUAGGUUCAUAAAAGUCUGAACUAACUUUAUUUGAUAGUAACUCCUAUAGGUAAAUUGUGACAUUGGGUACCGAACAGGAUCUUGCCAAAGGCAAACAGUGUCUACUACAGCUGUCACUGAAACACUCUUCUUACCCUGCUUACUGUUUUAAGGUGCAUUAUGAAGAAGUAAACUGAGUCAAAUGGCUACUGCAGAUGUUGUUGAUGCAACUUCAUAAAUGAACUUUAUCAACAUUUUCUUCACAAAUGCAAUUAUUUCUUCUUCUUAUUUUGCAUUUACCAGUAGCAAAUAGACCUGAAGAGAGCUGGGGUCCUUGGUGGUCUUGAAAGAUGUUGACUUUAUGUCUUCUCUUGCUAAGAAUGAGAUUUCUGCUAUUCUGGAUAGCAUUAUUAUUGCAAGCACAUGUGUCUGCAAUGGUUGCCAGCAUUCUUCUGCUGCUGCAGUGGGCUUAAACCAUAGCAAGGUUGAAAUCGUGGUCAGGAUCAGACGUCCCCCAUUAGACACAUGGCACCUGAAUGAACAUAGACCUAAGGUCAUAGCAAGGAUAGUUUAAAACAUAUAAACUAGUUAUCUGACUCCCUAUCUACCCAGGCAGUAAAGAGAUAAGAAUUAAAAGUAUGAAGAAUGCUUAAAGUUGGAUGUUGUCCUAUGUGGGACAAUGGCACAUGGAGUAUUACUGCUUCUGUAAUUUGGGUGCUGCCCUCACCUUUUCUGGUAAGAUGAAAGGUGAACCAGUUCUAAGCCUAAUCAAUAUUCCAGGGGUAAAGGGUCUUUCCCAGAAAAGUGGGAGCUUUCAACAAGGAGAUUUCAACUCCUGCAGGCUGCAGGAGUAUCUAGGACUUUGGUCUCUUAGCUUUUAGCUGAGUGAAUUUUCUGGUACUCAGUUUCUGGAAGAGAAAGGUAUUUUACUAUGUGUGUGACUGAGCACUGGGCUAGACUGAAUUCAUCAUUGUCCGAGUGUCUUGAGGGAAGGUCUAUGUGUGCAUGAUGGAAUAGAGACAAUUAGAUGUGUCUUCAGCCACCUCCCAUCCCAGAUUAAGAUAUGUGUUAGGGUUAUCUUAGAAAAAGGUAAUGCAUUUCCAUGACUGACUCAGUGCUUAGGAGACAGUAUAAUCCAAAAUGGAGAUAAAAGUUGACUGUAGGCACCCCUAGACACUGUGCUGGAGAGCAGACAUUUAACAGAGAUUUAUUGAGUAUUCAUCUCAAUUCAGGUGGAACUCAUAUGAUCUGCAUCUUGCAGCACAGUUCAAACCUAAAGAAUGUAAGCGUGUCAAUUCAUUGUCAAUUAGAGCUGGACCUUUUCCAACAGUAUUAUCUGACAUGUUUAACCACAGAUUGCUUUUCUGACCUUACAUAGGCAUGAAAACUCCCUCUACCCUGACCAAAGUCCUCACUUAAACAUAUGGUAGCUGAGACCUUUUAAAGUCAUCUUUCUUCACAGGAAAUAAGCCAGGAAGAGAACAAAUGGCAGAAUUUAACAAAUGAAAUCCAGAAUUAACCUAUUGUAAAAUGUUUUUGUGUGUGCUGUGGUUACUGUCUCCCUCUGGAUGAAAGUAGAAUGUCUCAUGUGCGUUUAGAGUUGAGCCAUGCAGUCUUUUUGGAAACAUGUAUUUAGUGGGUAUCCAUGACUGUUAAGUUUAUAAUAGAAAAAUUGUUUUAUUAUAGUUUCCAAAGACCCCUAAUACAUUAGGAACAUGAAUUUUAAAAAAUAAAUAAGACAGUACUUAUUGGUCCUGAUUCUCCAGACAGUUUAGUUGGAUCCAAGGAAUACAAAAGUUACAUUUUCUGCUUGGUGCUCCUCUCAGUUCUCCUGCUGUGUUACUGUGCUUUCCAGUUUGCACAUCUCUGCCCAACUCUUAUGAAUUUUUGUCCCAUUAUCCAGCCCCACUUGAUCUACCCCUUCUUCCCUGGAGUCAGCUCUUGAUUUACUGCUUUUAGCCUGAUGUUUUUGUUCUCCUGCAAUUUCUUGACUCCCCAAGCUCUGUUCCAUUUUAAUUACAGGGAUAUUCUUUCCUGAAACCUGAAGGUUAUGGAGUCCUGUCCUAGCUGGUGAUUGUUUCAAGGUCUACCAGAAAUUACAUCUUUCUGUUCUUGUUUGUUUUUUUUUAAAUAGACAUUACUUUUCCAUAUCUAGCUGUCAGUAUGUUUUGAACAUACAUGGAGUAAUUAAUAUAAAUUAAAAAAAUAAACAUGUUGUAAAAACCA